UAGGGAAUCUUCGGCAAUGGACGGAAGUCUGACCGAGCAACGCCGCGUGAGUGAAGAAGGUUUUCGGAUCGUAAAGCUCUGUUGUAAGAGAAGAACGAGUGUGAGAGUGGAAAGUUCACACUGUGACGGUAUCUUACCAGAAAGGGACGGCUAACUACGUGCCAGCAGCCGCGGUAAUACGUAGGUCCCGAGCGUUGUCCGGAUUUAUUGGGCGUAAAGCGAGCGCAGGCGGUUAGAUAAGUCUGAAGUUAAAGGCUGUGGCUUAACCAUAGUAGGCUUUGGAAACUGUUUAACUUGAGUGCAAGAGGGGAGAGUGGAAUUCCAUGUGUAGCGGUGAAAUGCGUAGAUAUAUGGAGGAACACCGGUGGCGAAAGCGGCUCUCUGGNNUGUGUAACUGACGCUGAGGCUCGAAAGCGUGGGGAGCAAACAGGAUUAGAUACCCUGGUAGUCCACGCUGUAAACGAUGAGUGCUAGGUGUUAGACCCUUUCCGGGGUUUAGUGCCGUAGCUAACGCAUUAAGCACUCCGCCUGGGGAGUACGACCGCAAGGUU
rnacentral:rRNA from 1 species